rnacentral:rRNA from 1 species
CAGUAGCCGCGGUAAUACGUAGGUGGCAAGCGUUGUCCGGAAUUAUUGGGCGUAAAGGGCUCGCAGGCGGUUUCUUAAGUCUGAUGUGAAGGCCCCCGGCUCAACCGGGGAGGGUCAUUGGAAACUGGGAAACUUGAGUGCAGAAGAGGAGAGUGGAAUUCCACGUGUAGCGGUGAAAUGCGUAGAGAUGUGGAGGAACACCAGUGGCGAAGGCGACUCUCUGGUCUGUAACUGACGCUGAGGAGCGAAAGCGUGGGGAGCGAACAGGAUUAGAUACCCCAGUAGUCCCUGUCUCUUAUAC